GAACCUGCCUCAAAGAGGGGGACAACAGUUGGAAACGACUGCUAAUACCGCAUAAGCCCACGACCCGGCAUCGGGUUGAGGGAAAAGGAGCAAUCCGCUUUGAGAUGGCCUCGCGUCCGAUUAGCUAGUUGGUGAGGUAAUGGCCCACCAAGGCAACGAUCGGUAGCCGGACUGAGAGGUUGAUCGGCCACAUUGGGACUGAGACACGGCCCAGACUCCUACGGGAGGCAGCAGUGGGGAAUAUUGCACAAUGGGGGAAACCCUGAUGCAGCGACGCCGCGUGGAGGAAGAAGGUCUUCGGAUUGUAAACUCCUGUUGUUGAGGAAGAUAAUGACGGUACUCAACAAGGAAGUGACGGCUAACUACGUGCCAGCAGCCGCGGUAAAACGUAGGUCACAAGCGUUGUCCGGAAUUACUGGGUGUAAAGGGAGCGCAGGCGGGAAGACAAGUUGGAAGUGAAAUCUAUGGGCUCAACCCAUAAACUGCUUUCAAAACUGUUUUUCUUGAGUAGUGCAGAGGUAGGCGGAAUUCCCGGUGUAGCGGUGGAAUGCGUAGAUAUCGGGAGGAACACCAGUGGCGAAGGCGGCCUACUGGGCACCAACUGACGCUGAGGCUCGAAAGUGUGGGUAGCAAACAGGAUUAGAUACCCUGGUAGUCCACACCGUAAACGAUGAUUACUAGGUGUUGGAGGAUUGACCCCUUCAGUGCCGCAGUUAACACAA
rnacentral:rRNA from 1 species